UUUGCCCCGCGCGAAAAUUUCCUCCCUCGCUUGCGUCGCGACGGUGCCACCGCCACCAGCGACGCCGCCUCUCUGAGCGACCCUCCCUCUGCCCAAACCAAGAUUGCGCAGUUUGAAAAUGUAAGCGGAGACCGAUUUAUUCUCUGCCUUGUGAGGAUGUAAGUACCACAUAAUUACUCUGCCCAGCAACGCCACCGUCGACCCUCCCAUCCUCUCCCCGAGUCUCCUCGUGCGGCUUCCUCGCCCUCCCCGAGAUUUUCUUGGAUUUUCACGGCAAACAGUUAAUACCAAUGAUUUACACUAGUAAAUCAGACAAGCUCAAGAAAUGGUUCUCGCUAAUUGAUGCGGUAACGUUGUCACAUAAGAGGGUUCUGCUACCUGUUAAAAAACUUUGCGAGUCUUCUCUUGUUAGCAGCAAGUUGCAUAGGACACUGUAUGGCUUUAUUCUAUUUGAAGUUUCAUGGAACAAUGUCCGAGGCAUUAACUACUUGAAUGAGCUUCAGGGAAGACACUGCUUGCAAAAACAGUAGCUCGAUUUGUGAAUGUGCCCUUUGUCAUCGCUGAUGCAACAACUUUGACACACUU